UGGCUGAAGACACCUCUUCACAUAAGAUGGUGACAACAAAUCACAGGCGCAGUCUCACCAAAAUCACAGAUCAGUUGAAAAUCCUCAUCAAUACCUUCAAUCAAAAACCUUACCCAGGUUAUGCUACCAAACAAAAACUUGCUUUAGAAAUCAAUACGGAAGAGUCCAGAAUCCAGAUUUGGUUUCAGAAUUGAAGAGCUGGAUUCCAGAAAAGACCAGAACCUGGGACUUUAGAAUCAAGCCAGAGCCAUGGGCAAGAUCGACCUGAUGCAGAGUUUCAAAGUAGAGAAGCCAGAUGGUGUUGUACCACCUACAGCGCCUCUCAAUUAAGCACUCUCAUCAAGGCAUCUAUGAAAAGCCCAUACCCUGGGAUUGAUUCCAGAGAACAAGUUGCUGAAGAAAUUGGUGUUCCAGAGUUAAGAGUCCAAAUCUGGUUCCAAAACUGAAGAUCUAGAUUUCAUCUCCAGAGAAACAGGGAACCUGUUGUGUCCUUAGAACAAGAAGACCAGGGGCAAGAUUUCUGAGGGACAUCAAGGUACAGAAGAUACACAAAAUGGCACCAACCUCACUAGCAAUUCUCAUUUCUAUAGAGCCAGAAGGU
rnacentral:lncRNA from 1 species